rnacentral:rRNA from 1 species
GACAGAGGGUGCAAACGUUGUUCGGAUUUACUGGGCGUAAAGGGCGCGUAGGCGGCCCUCUAAGUCGAACGUGAAAUCCCCGGGCUCAACCCGGGAACUGCGUCCGAUACUGGAGGGCUCGAAUCCGGGAGAGGGAUGUGGAAUUCCAGGUGUAGCGGUGAAAUGCGUAGAUAUCUGGAGGAACACCGGUGGCGAAGGCGGCAUCCUGGACCGGUAUUGACGCUGAGGCGCGAAAGCCAGGGGAGCAAACGGG